ensembl:lncRNA
UGCAGUUCUCUCUGUUCUACAUUUCUUUGCACCAGAAAUGACCCUGCUGCUCUUUGUCACCAGUGUUUCCUUUUAUCCCUCCCCUGGCAGCUGCUCUUGCUCCAUUUUGAUGUUGGAACAGCAAAUGAACUCCCUCUGAAGCAAAUGUCAUGCCAGUAAAGACGUUGAAGCAGCAAGAAAAUCAUCUCUGUCUCUGAAGAAUGAAUUGGAGACCUUUGUGAAUGAGAUGUUCUUAAAAUAGCUCCACAGCAUGUUAUCUUCACUAGAAGGUGGAGAAUUGAAAACACCACCAGAAGCCACUUGGUUUUGUGUCUCUCUUGCUUACUGUUGGACUUCGACAGACAUAAUCUGUGAAGAUAAUCGAAGUUCCUUUGCUCUGAGUGCUGUAAGUGAUUUUUUUGUUUGUUUUAUGGAAAUUGUUAGGAGCCUAUUUGCUCCUGACAAACACAGGGGAAAAAGGUGAAAAUGCCAAAUCACAGACAAUUGGUUGAAAUGAAGCUGGUGCAGAUUUGUUAUAUGACUGUACGUGUUUGCAGGAGAUAUUUCUUAACAGCAUUUUGUAUUCAGGAACACCCCUGUCUCCAUUCCAGCCAUGCUGAGAAAUGCAGUAGCAGAACCCUAAUUGCAAAUUGCCAGUAAAGAUACCC